rnacentral:rRNA from 1 species
UACAGAGGUCUCAAGCGUUGUUCGGAUUCAUUGGGCGUAAAGGGUGUGUAGGUGGCGCCGUAAGUCGGGUGUGAAAUUUCGGAGCUUAACUCCGAAACUGCAUUCGAUACUGCGGUGCUUGAGGACUGGAGAGGAGAUUGGAAUUCACGGUGUAGCAGUGAAAUGCGUAGAUAUCGUGAGGAAGACCAGUGGCGAAGGCGGAUCUCUGGACAGUUCCUGACGCUGAGGCGCGAAGGCCAGGGGAGCAAACGGG